AAAGAAAAGAAAAGAAAAUUAAAAGAAAUCUUUAUGACAUUACUUAAGUGAUGUAAGCAUGAUACAAUAAAGAAUUUUAAUUUUGAUUUAAUUAAAGUGAGAUAAAGAUAAUUAAACAAAUAAAAAACAAAAAGAAAAUUUAAAAGUCCAUCUUCUCCAUUGUUUUGCCGUCACUUUCCUCACUCAUCUCUCUCUCAUUUUCUCUUUAUUUUCACCAUUUUUAGACUUAG
rnacentral:misc_RNA from 1 species